CGAGAAGCGAACCUGCGAAGGCAAGCGGAUCUCUUAAAGCCGUUCUCAGUUCGGACUGUAGGCUGCAACUCGCCUACACGAAGCUGGAAUCGCUAGUAAUCGCGGAUCAGCACGCCGCGGUGAAUACGUUCCCGGGCCUUGUACACACCGCCCGUCACACCAUGGGAGCCGGUAAUACCCGAAGUCAGUAGUCCAACCUCGUGAGGACGCUGCCGAAGGUAGGAUUGGCGACUGGGGUGAAGUCGUAACAAGGUAAC
rnacentral:rRNA from 1 species